rnacentral:SRP_RNA from 1 species
GCCGGGCAUGGUGGCGCAUGCCUGUGAUCCCAGCUACUCAGGAGGCUGAGGCAAGAGAAUUGCUUGAACCCAGGAGCGGGAGGUUGCAGUGAGUUGAAAUCGCACCACUGCACUCCAGCCUGGGUGACAGAGUGAGACUCUGUCUCAA